UAAUGAUUCGAAUGGUCGCCUUCAGUGCUGGCUCUUGCAAGUGCACGUAGGUGGCUUUCAUCCAAUACCCUUGUGAACCUUUGGCCUCCAGUGUGCUAGCUUCGGCUGGCGGAGGAUUUUUACACACACUCGAAUGUAAAGAACACUAUUGUCGUGCGCAAGCACUAAUGUACAACUUUCAACAACGGAUCUCUUGGCUCUCGCAUCGAUGAAGAACGCAGCGAAAUGCGAUAAGUAAUGUGAAUUGCAGAAUUCAGUGAAUCAUCGAAUCUUUGAACGCACCUUGCACCCUUUGGUAUUCCGAAGGGUAUGCUCGUUUGAGUGUCAUUGUACUCUCAUACUCUCUGAUCCUUUGGAUUCAGCGAGUGGUGGACUUGGGUGUUUGCUGCUUUCCUUGUGGCUCACCUCAAAUGUGUUAGUGCACCUCUUGGUUGGACAUAGUACGGCGUGAUAAGUGUCUUCGCCGGCACCUCGCAAGAGGGUGGCUGAUCGGGAGCUCUGUGCUUUCAAACCGUCAUUCGACAAUCACUGACAACU
rnacentral:misc_RNA from 1 species